rnacentral:rRNA from 1 species
CGGAUUGUAAACCACUGUUGUAAGGGAAGAACGUUAUUAGUAGGAAAUGGCUAAUAAGUGACGGUACCUUACCAGAAAGGGACGGCUAACUACGUGCCAGCAGCCGCGGUAAUACGUAGGUCCCGAGCGUUAUCCGGAAUUAUUGGGCGUAAAGGGCACGUAGGCGGACAAAUAAGUUUGAUGUCAAAUAUGAUGGCUCAACCAUCAAGAGGCGUUGAAAACUGUUUAUCUAGAAUCUCGGAGAGGUAAGUGGAAUUCCAUGUGUAGCGGUGGAAUGCGUAGAUAUAUGGAGGAACACCAAUGGCGAAGGCAGCUUACUCGGACGAAGAUUGACGCUGAGGUGCGAAAGCGUAGGGUAGCGAAACAGGAAUUAGAUUACCCUGGUACG